GAUGAACGCUAGCUACAGGCUUAACACAUGCAAGUCGAGGGGUAGCAGGGUAGCAAUACCGCUGACGACCGGCGCACGGGUGAGUAACACGUAUCCAACCUUCCCAUAACUCAGGGAUAGCCUUUCGAAAGAAAGAUUAAUACCCGAUAGUACUUAUAUAGGGCAUCCUACAUAAGUUAAAGAUUUAUUGGUUAUGGAUGGGGAUGCGUUCCAUUAGAUAGUUGGUGAGGUAACGGCUCACCAAGUCUUCGAUGGAUAGGGGUUCUGAGAGGAAGGUCCCCCACAUUGGCACUGAGACACGGACCAAACUCCUACGGGAGGCAGCAGUGAGGAAUAUUGGUCAAUGGGCGAGAGCCUGAACCAGCCAAGUAGCGUGAAGGAUGAAGGUCCUAUGGAUUGUAAACUUCUUUUAUAGUAGAAUAAAGUGGUCCACGUGUGGAUUUUUGUAUGUAUACUAUGAAUAAGGAUCGGCUAACUCCGUGCCAGCCGCCGCCGUAAAAC
rnacentral:rRNA from 1 species